GUUUGGAAGUACUCAAAAUAAGUAACUCUCUUUAGAUUCAAAGUCAAAUAGUUUACUUUCCUCUUAGUUUCAUUUACCUGGGUUUCCAAGGUUGCAUUCUCCCUAUUUUGCAUUCACCAUCACAUGCAUAAGCCUUACCAACCUACUCCGCA